GUUGACCGGCCAUUUCAC
rnacentral:snRNA from 1 species